CAUAACAAAGAUGGCGAACACCCGAUCUAAGUGGAAGGGUUCUGAAUCAGUUUUAACCGAGAGCACGAAGAAACGAAGAAUCGAGAACAUGAUUUUAACUUCACAAAGACGAACACGUAUCUUAGAGACAGAGCAAGCAGAUGGCAUCAGUUAAAAAGACCGAAGGGAUUAAAACAGACCCUCCGUUGGCCAAGCUAAUGCCUUGAACAGCCAACAGUUUUGAAAGCAAGCCUGAGAUCUAGAGCGUCUGGUCAUAAAGAAACUGAAGCCAAUGAAGAUGACCACAGGCGGCAUGGAGUCCAGCCACUACGGACGACACUAUUACUAGUCGCACUUAGAUAUCACAGGAUUUAUAUCACAAAAGUUCUCGGAGGACAAUAGUGCUGUACAAGGUGGAAAGGACAUACCAACACAUCCAGGGACUCAUCAAUCUGAUAGUGGCCAACAGAAUAACGGAUAGAACUGGAAUAUCUAAACCAAAACCCUUGCAUCAAAUAGAUCCCAGAAGAUUCAAACUCCUAGCCUAUGUUCCUCCACCAUCUACUGCCCAAAUGGUAGAGGAGAAGAAAUCCCAAUUAAGAUUAAUGGGAAUAAUUGAAAUUUUGAGACUAAUCACGUUCCAGAGACUAUUACUUUUGAAUAUCUGUCCUUACGUUUAGUAGCUGACCUGGUCCGAAGGACCAAGGUGAGUAUGCCAUACUGAGGCGUCCGGCAUUCGUCUGUCAACAUUGUGAACACAAUAUUUGAAUAACUUGAGUAAAUAACAGAAUAUAACAAAUUUGAUAAAACUUUAUACGCAGCCAUAUAUCGAUAAGAUCUCGGACAAGUUCAAAAAUAGAAAUUAUUGGACAGAAGUUUGCAGAGUUAUUGCCCUUUGUAAUGGUCUUAUUAUUAACAUUUUUUUAGUUCACUGGUCAGAAUGGAAACUCUUUUAAAAAUUUUACUAGUCCUGAACAAUUAAAUGAUUUGAUUUUUUUUUCAAGAAUUACAUCUAGUCCACUUGUAGUUUGAACCAUUGUUGGGAGAGGUAGUUCAAAAGUAGAAAAAUGUUUGAAAUGUAACUUAAUUUGAGUAUUUUGCCAUCAUUACUGAAUUAUCCAGGUUAGCGAUGCAGGCCCUCUGGGCCUUUAGUUUAUUGGUAUAAUGUUACUAUAAUAGCUUAGCUGUUAUCCAUUCCAUUAAUGUCAUAUGAUAAUCAGUGCAGCCUUAAUUUCAAAAUUUAUAUAAUCUCAAGAGACAAACAACAUUGUCUGGUCUGAAAUUUAAAUGCUUAGUCAAAAAUGAUUAUUCAUAGCUGUACAUGUGUGCACUAUUGAAAUAUUCAUGUUAACACUCACAAGUAAUUUAUAAACUCUCAAAAUUCAUUGAUGUCAACACCUACUAGUGCUCAAUAGCCUUUAAUGUCAACACGCACUAGUACUCAAUAGUCAUGGAUGACAACACUCACUAGUACUCAAUAGCAACGGAUGUCAACACUCACUAAUACUCAAUAGUCAUUUAUGUCAACACUCACUAAUACUCAAAAGUCAUACAGUCUUUAAUGUCAACACUCAAUAGUACUCAAUAGUCACGGAUGACAACACUCACUAGUACUCAAUAGUAACAGAUGUCAACACUCACUAAUACUCAAUAGUCAUUUAUGUCAACACUCACUAAUACUCAAUAGUCAUAUAUGUCAACACUCACAAAUACUCAAUAGUCAUGUAUGUCAACACUCCAUAAUACUCAAUAGUCAUUGAUGUCAACACUCAAUUAUCACUGAUGCCAACAAUUGUCAUUGAUGUUAAGUCACUAGUCAUGGCAGUCAACUUUCUCUAGUCAUUGAUGCCAAUGCUUACAUCUGAGCAAGACAAUAAAUAAAAUGUGGUGAAUUCUUUAUUUGCAUGUUUGACUUUUCCCAGUGUUUUCUAUAUCAAAACUAUUUGUGAGACAAAUUGUACUGUGCAUUUACUGUUUUGUGUAUUAUCAACAUCAUAAGUCACUGUUCUGUAGAUAUUCUGAUAAAUUAGGGUUGCAUCUUUAGGUCACCUGAGAUGAAGUAUGAA